AUUGAACGCUGGCGGCAGGCCUAACACAUGCAAGUCGAACGAGUGGCGGACGGGUGAGUAAUGUCUGGGAAACUGACUGAUGGAGGGGGAUAACUACUGGAAACGGUAGCUAAUACCGCAUACCAUCGGAUGUGCCCAGAGGGGAUUAGCUAGUAGGUGGGGUAACGGCUCACCUAGGCGACGAUCCCUAGCUGGUAUGCGAGGAUGACCAGACACACUGGAACUGAGAAACGGUCCAGACGCCUACGGGAGGCAGCAGGGGUGAAUAUGGCACAAUGGGCGCAAGCCUGAGUCAGCCAUGCCGCGUGUAUGAAGAAGGCCUUCGGGUUGGAAAGUACUUUCAGCGGGGAGGCGUUACCCGCAGAAGAAGCACCGGCGAACUCCGUGCCAGCCGCCGCGGUAAUAC
rnacentral:rRNA from 1 species